GACGAACGCUGGCGGCGUGCUUAACACAUGCAAGUCGAACGGAAAGGCGCGGCUUUUGUUGGGUGCUCGAUUGGCGAACGGGGGUGUAACACGUGAGUAACCUCCCCUUGUCUUUGUGAUAACUUCAGGAAACUGGGGCUAACACCGGAGAGGAGCUCCUGCAGCAUGGUGGUCGUUGGAAAGUUUCGGCGGUGGGGGAUCGACUCGCGGGUUAUCAGCUUGUUGGUGGAGUAGUUGCGUACCAAGGUUUUGACGGGUAGCCGGCCUGAGAGGGUGGCCGGCGACAAUGGGACUGAGAGAGGGAGCAGACGGGAACGGGAGGCAGAGGUCGAAAGUAUGGCAGAAUGAGGGGAAGUGUGAUGUGGAGGCGUCGGGUGCGGAAUGCCGGGCUUCGGGUUGUGAACAGCUUUGGCAUGAGACGAAGCGUGAGUGACGGUAAUGGGUCAAGAAGCACCGGCUAACUACGUG
rnacentral:rRNA from 1 species